rnacentral:lncRNA from 1 species
CUCCAACAACAUGAGAUAUAGACAAGAAUAUUUUUAUUACUAUAUAAAUCAUGAAAAAUUGGAAACAACAAACUUAAACAAUAUAUUACAUAUCAAUACAUGAUAAAUUUAACCUAUACAACUAAUCCUCCUCAUCUGAAGACUCUCCACUAAGCCAUUCACCUUCUUCGGAGGUUUCCUCAUCUCCUACCCACUCAGCCUCUUCUUCCAUAAUAUUAACUUCUUCAAAAAUAUUUUUCGGGUG